rnacentral:sRNA from 1 species
GCUGGGCAGGGUGGUGCACACUUGUAAUCCCAGCUCAUUAGGAAGCCGAGGUAGGAGGAUCCCAAGUUCAAGGUCGGUCUGUGAAAUUUAGGGAGACCCUGUCUCAA